CCUAAUCAAGCCUGGGCAAUGGCGGGCGCCCCUCCCCCAGCCUCGCUGCCGCCUUGCAGUUUGAUCUCAGACUGCUGUGCUAGCAAUCAGCGAGACUCCGUGGGCGUAGGACCCUCUGAGCCAGUGAGAUGAACCCGGUACCUCAGAUGGAAAUGCAGAAAUCACCCGUCUUCUGCGUCGCUCACGCUGGGAGCUGUAGACCGGAGCUGUUCCUAUUCGGCCAUCUUGGCUCCUCCUCGAAAUGGAAUCCUGACUGAUACAAGCUGAAAACGAA
rnacentral:lncRNA from 1 species